rnacentral:rRNA from 1 species
UACAGAGGUCUCAAGCGUUGUUCGGAAUUACUGGGCGUAAAGGGUUUGUAGGUGGCUCGCUAAGUCAGACGUGAAAUCCCUCAGCUUAACUGGGGAACUGCGUCUGAAACUGAUGAGCUUGAGUGCAGGAGAGGAACGCGGAAUUCCAGGUGUAGCGGUGAAAUGCGUAGAUAUCUGGAGGAACACCGGUGGCGAAGGCGGCGUUCUGGACUGCAACUGACACUGUAAAACGAAAGCCAGGGGAGCAAACGGG